rnacentral:rRNA from 1 species
AGUGAACGCUGGCGGUAGGCCUAACACAUGCAAGUCGAACGGCAGCACAGUAAGAGCUUGCUCUUACGGGUGGCGAGUGGCGGACGGGUGAGGAAUACAUCGGAAUCUACUUUUUCGUGGGGGAUAACGUAGGGAAACUUACGCUAAUACCGCAUACGACCUACGGGUGAAAGCAGGGGAUCUUCGGACCUUGUGCGAUUGAAUGAGCCGAUGUCGGAUUAGCUAGUUGGCGGGGUAAAGGCCCACCAAGGCGACGAUCCGUAGCUGGUCUGAGAGGAUGAUCAGCCACACUGGAACUGAGGCACGGUCCAGACUCCUACGGGAGGCAGCAGUGGGGAAUAUUGGGCAAUGGGCGCAAGCCUGAUCCAGCCAUACCGCGUGGGUGAAGAAGGCCUUCGGGUUGUAAAGCCCUUUUGUUGGGAAAGAAAAGCAGCAGGUUAAUACCCCGCUGUUCUGACGGUACCCAAAGAAUAAGCACCGGCUAACUUCGUG